ACACUCUCUCCGUUUCCCUUC
rnacentral:miRNA from 1 species